AUUGAACGCUGGCGGCAGGCCUAACACAUGCAAGUCAAACGGUAACAGGAAGAAGCUUGCUUCUUUGCUGACGAGUGGCGGACGGGUGAGUAAUGUCUGGGAAACUGCCUGAUGGAGGGGGAUAACUACUGGAAACGGUAGCUAAUACCGCAUAACGUCGCAAGCCCAAAGAGGGGGACCUUCGGGCCUCUUGCCAUCGGAUGUGCCCAGAUGGGAUUAGCUAGUAGGUGGGGUAACGGCUCACCUAGGCGACGAUCCCUAGCUGGUCUGAGAGGAUGACCAGCCACACUGGAACUGAGACACGGUCCAGACUCCUACGGGAGGCAGCAGUGGGGAAUAUUGCACAAUGGGCGCAAGCCUGAUGCAGCCAUGCCGCGUGUAUGAAGAAGGCCUUCGGGUUGUAAAGUACUUUCAGCGGGGAGGAAGGGAGUAAAGUUAAUACCUUUGCUCAUUGACGUUACCCGCAGAAGAAGCACCGGCUAACUCCGUG
rnacentral:rRNA from 1 species